GAUAUUAGUUUCUUGAACAUGUCUGCAAAAUUUCAUGGACUUUGGUAGCUUAAUAUUCAAAUGAAAUUGGAACUACGUUUGUAUGGAGCGAGUGACGGAGAGACCCCUCUUAAAACAACACUGCAUAGUUUUAAAAGUAAGGCCAAGAAAGCCACAUGACAGUCUAGACUAGUUAUGAUAGUGUAUUGUGAAGUCAUCUUUAAGGUUGUGUCUAGAAUGUUAGGUGUUAUGAAACUCGAUAAUAUUCUUCCAUUCAACGCGAUUGUUAAAAUAGGAUAAAGAUAACUAAAGAUAUUUUAGUCAUAAUAAUUAUACCUAGCUACCCAAUAAGAUUUAUUUAUCUCUUUGUUUUAUUAGGUACAGAGAAACUUACAGAAUGUUUGUUCUGAUUUACGUAAGUAUUUAGAUCUUAUUAGCUGUACCUACGUAUCUAGACCAUAUCUAGACACAUACAAUAUGAUUAUUGUUAGACUUGAAAAUUGACUUAGGUACUAUAAAUACAUAAAGAUACCUUGUGCUAUCUUUGUUCAAUGACUAUGUAUGUAAUAUUUGGUGAAAUAACGAAUGAUAAAAUAUGCCUUCACCUGGAAUUAAAAAAAUAAAUGUGUCUCUAUAUGAUAAGGACUGAUUAUAAAAUCGUUAAAUAAACUGGGCGAAUAAAACAUUUUGACAGAUUUCCAAUAGUAAUGAAUACUGUUAAAAGCAUAGAAGGUCAAAUUUAUUCCUCAGAUAAACAUUAUUUGGCGAUUGAAAAAUAGACCCUAAGUAGAAUAAUAAUCGAUAUUUGGCAUACCUAGUAACUUACUUAUAGUGAAUUAUUCUAAUGAGUAUUAUAGGUCUAUGUUUGUAAUAUUUGAGAUCCACUUCAGCUUCGUGGAGUAUUCAAUAUUCGGUUUAGCAACGCAAAUAAUUAUUAUUUAUACAUAUAUUGAUUUUUUAAAAUGAUAUUUAACUGAAAGUCUUGUCGAAUAUUCAGCUUGUGUUAUGGCCUUUAAGUUUUGCUUAUAUUUGCCAUUCAUUCCAAAAUCUAUGAUCCUCCCUCCAAAAUGCGGUAGAUAGUAAAAAUAAUUUAUUUGAAUAAGAAACCUUCACCAUAGAGUUCGAUAUUUUUAAUUUGUCAAAAGCAUUUUGUAGUAGCUCUAUUACGACUUCCGGUUUUUAAUUAAAACGCAUUUGGUGGAAGCGACGGGCCUGCCCGCGAAAAUCAAAUAUAAUUUGGUUUUUCGCAAUUGGUCCAAAUUAAUUUCUUAAACUGGACCCUUUCAAGUAAAGAUUUUUAUAUGAACCUGUGAGGAUGCUACUGCCAUUGUCGCAAUUAAAAUACCAUAAGCCUACGUGGUCGUACUAGUUUACAAAUUGCGAAAAACCAAAUUAAAUUUGAAUUUCGCGAGCAGGCCCGUCUCACCCCCUUUUUUUUCGAAAUGUUUCAUAAGGGUACAUACAAAGAGUAUGUAACCACUGCGUUCUACUAUGGAUACUUAUUACUUAUGGUUCUUCAAAUUUAAAGUCUCUAGGUUUACCGGUUGUCUGUGCUUUCUGCCAGUCAGUCACGGUACAGUUUUAUUAGAUAGAUAUUUGUUCGUAUGAUCGCGCAAGACAUUAUUUAAAUUGGAUGGUUCAUAAUUUACUAUUUUCAUUUCCGAUGUCACUUCGAUCAAGGCUCAAACGUCUAAAUAUUUGAAAUCAUCUUCAAUUGUUGAUUUCCUUGUCUUUCACUAACAAUAAUAAUUUAUUCACAAGAGAAUAAAGAUGGACCAUCUAAUUUUGCCCUUUAGAAUAUUAUAUUGAACGUAUCCAAUAAUAUUACCCAAGUAGCCUUGUGAGCCAAAUAAAGAAUCUGGAUACCAAAUUGAAAACAAUAUUAUGAACGCUUAAAAAUAUAAUUAUAUUUUUCUCUGAAAC